rnacentral:tRNA from 1 species
GCCGAUGUGGCGGAACAGGCAGACGCACGCGACUCAAAAUCGCGCGCCCGCGAGGGCAUGUGGGUUCGACUCCCACCAUCGGCA